CUCGCGGAAUUUGGGGCCGCGCGGGGUGGAAGGGGAGGGGAGAGGCGCGCACCUCCCUUCUCGCUCCCGCUGGAUCCAGGUCGGCGGGGGCCGGCGCCGGGCGGCCACGUGGUGGUGCUGCCGCUGCCCCCGCCCCGCCGGCCCAGCCCGGGAGCCGUGGCGCCCACUGACCCCCGCAGCGGGGGAGGAGGAGGGACCGAGGCGCAGGAAGCCGAGCAGGAAGCGAGCCCGGCGGCCGCGUUUUCCUGGGGAAGCGGCGGGCCGAGUGGCGCAGCCAGCGCGGCCCGGGAGCUGCCGCCGCCGCCUGGAUGGGGUGAGUGCGCGGCGCCGCGAGUCGGGAGGCUCUUCCCGGAGCGGGGAGCCGGCUCGCGGCCCCGCCUUUGUGUCUGGGGCUCCGGCGAGGGACGGCGCGCCCGGUGGAGAGGCUUAGCGGGGUGGCAGCGAGGGUCCCGCCACCACUCCCUUGUCUGCCGCCGGCCGCCCGCUGUCUGCAGAGGGAGAGGAGGAUGUGGGGAUCCGAGUGAGCGGGGGGGGGGGGGGGACGGGCCAAGUUGGGAGCGGGCUUUGCUGCUGCCUGCCCCCCACCGCCCCUCGCAGGCCGGCAGUGGCGAGGCACGGGGCUGGACGGGCCGAGGGAGCGCGGGCGAGAAUGAAUGGCCAGCCCUGCAGGGCGUCCUGGGGGGGGGGGGGGCGGCGAGUCGGCACCCUGUCCCACCUGCCUGGCGGCCCCGCGCCCCCACCCUCCCCCACCACCCAGGUCCUCGCUUCUGGGCUCGACCCGCCUCGGCGCUGAACUUGGAGGAGCUGGGUGGGAGGAAGGUGCAAGCGGGAGAUUCUGGAUGGCUCCGGCGACCGAGGCUCCGCUAUUGUUCCUUUUCUGACUCUAGGGAGCCCUUUGGCUGGCCCAGGGGUGCAGGCGAAGCUACACCGGGCCUGCUAGAGCCCCUCGCUCCUCGUGUCCCUUUCCCCGCCUCAGCUUCUAGGAGGGCCGGGAGGCGGGAUGCUGGAGUUCGGGCGCACACGGGGCGGCAGCUGGGACUUCGGGUUAGGGGCGCUCGCCCGCCAUCUGUCCCCACCUCUGCCCAGGUGGGUGGGUACCCACUCUAA
rnacentral:lncRNA from 1 species